AUGAGAACCUUAGCCUGUAUGUUUAUAAUUCUUUAGUUCUUAAUUCAUCAAAAUGCUGCCUUUUGGGAAAACCAUGUCAGCAUAGG